rnacentral:rRNA from 1 species
UCGGGAAUCUUGGGCAAUGGGCGAAAGCCUGACCCAGCAACGCCGCGUGAGGGAUGAAGGCCCUCGGGUCGUAAACCUCUGUCGGGAGAGAAGAACGGUAGCCUUUCAAAUAGGCUGGCUGCCUGACGGUAUCUCCAAAGGAAGCACCGGCUAACUCCGUGCCAGCAGCCGCGGUAAUACGGAGGGUGCAAGCGUUGUUCGGAAUCACUGGGCGUAAAGCGCGUGUAGGCGGCUUGGCAAGUCGAAUGUGAAAUCCCGGGGCUCAACCCCGGAACUGCACUCGAAACUGCCUCGCUAGAGUCUCGGAGAGGAAGGCAGAAUUCCCGGUGUAGGGGUGAAAUCCGUAGAUAUCGGGAGGAAUACCAGUGGCGAAGGCGGCCUUCUGGACGAUGACUGACGCUGAGACGCGAAAGCGUGGGGAGCAAACAGGAUUAGAUACCCCCGUAGUCC